AAUAGCCGCAAUUCGUGCUAAGGUAGCAUAAUCACUUGUCUUUUAAAUAAGGACUAGAACAAAAGAUUUAACAUUUUAACUUAUUUACCUUCUAUAAUAUAUCAAACUUUUCUUAAAUGUAAAAGGACAUUUAUUCUAAAGAAAGACGAUAAGACCCUAUUGAACUUAACUUCAGUUAAACUGGGGCAGUAAAUAAAUUAACACUUUUAAUAAAAUAUAACCUCAUUUAUCCAGUACUAUUGAAUAAUUCAGUUACCAUAGGGAUAACAGCGUAAUUAUAUUUUAAAGUUCUCAUUCUCAAUAUAGAUUGCAACCUCGAUGUUGAAUUAAUAACCUAAAUAAGGCAAGACUUAAUAAAGGAGGUCUGUUCGACCUUUAAAAAAUUACGUGAUCUGAGUUCAGACCGGAGAACAGCGCAAUCCUCUUUUAGAGCCCAUAUCGACAAGAGGGUUUACGACCUCGAUGUUGGAUCAGGACAUCCUAAUGGUGCAGCCGCUAUUAAGGGUUCGUUUGUUCAACGAUUAAAGUCCUACGUGAUCUGAGUUCAGA
rnacentral:rRNA from 1 species